CGCGGCAACACUUGAGGAAAAGGCCAUCAGUCUUCCUCAUGAUGUUGGCUUUAUGUAUCGCAGACACUCUCUCUCGGCCAUGAGAUUUGGCAUAGUGGAAUGCAUACUCUGCCACUCUCAAACUUGCUUGGCGGGUAAUGAUCUUGAGACUUUCUACAACCCCCCUGACCACCUGGUGUUCAAGGCCACUGUACUCCCCUUCUGUGUUCUCACGAAUUGUAAUAAGAUCAACAUUGUCAUACCUUGUUUUGUAUCCCGGAAGGCUAUAGCAAGGUCUAACAUUUGCAUACAGGCCGAGUUCUUUUCUUAACGUAAGGUUCAAUGAUCUGUGGCCCUUACCAAUGGGUGUAGCCAUAGGGCCUUUCAGUCCUACUUUAUUUCUCCGAACUGAUUCCAGACUUUCAUAUGUUAAGAAGCUCUCUGUUCUAGGAUCCACUUUAUCGCUCACAUAAUGUUCUUCCCAUUCUAUUGGCACUUCAGCUGCAUUGAAAACCUGCUUGACGGAUUCAGCAAUCUCUGGCCCGAUCCCGUCGCCAGGGAAGAGCGUGGCGCAGAUCGGCUCCGUCGGCGACGCGUCGGUCGAGAGCGACGCG
rnacentral:misc_RNA from 1 species